rnacentral:rRNA from 1 species
GAUGAACGCUAGCUACAGGCUUAACACAUGCAAGUCGAGCGACCGGCGCACGGGUGAGUAACACGUAUCCCACCUGCACUUUACUCGGGGAUAGCCUUUCGCAAGAAAGAAUAAUACCUGAUAGAAAGGAUGGGGAUGCGUUUCAUUAGGUUGUGGGUGAGGUAACGUCCCACCAAGCCUUCGAUGGCUAGGGGAUAUGAGAGGAAGCUCCCCUGCAUUGGAACUGAGGCCCAGUCCAACCUCCUACGGAAGGCAGCAGAAAGGAAUAUUAGUCACUGAGGGGUAGCCUGAACCAGCCAAGUGGCGUGAAGGAUGAAGGCUUAGGAAUCGAAAUCUACUUUUAUAUAAGAAUAUGUAUUAUAUGAAUAAGGAUCGGCUAACUCCGUGCCAGCAGCCGCGGUAAUAC